rnacentral:rRNA from 1 species
AAAACGACUCUCGGCAACGGAUAUCUCGGCUCUCGCAUCGAUGAACAACGUAUCGAAAUGCGAUACUUGGUGUGAAUUGCAGAAUCCCGUGAACCAUCGAGUCUUUGAACGCAAGUUGCGCCCGAAGCCAUUAGGCCGAGGGCACGCCUGCCUGGGCGUCACAC